rnacentral:ncRNA from 1 species
UACUGAAAAAGGCAAAUCUCUCGAAAGAUUGAUACGCAAAGCCGUUGAUCUAAGGCAUAAGCUAUGAUUGCAAGGUUACCGUU